CCCCUGCGCCCCAGACAGCGUGAGGGUCCGCGUGCGGCUGAUCGACGGCAUGCAGUUGGCCAUGGCCACCUGGCCGGCCGUGGCGUGCCCCGCCCCGGUGAAGUACCUGGUGUCUCUGGAGGGCCGCAUCCAGGACGACCCGCGGGCCCGGGUGGACCUGUGGUCCUACCCCACGGACCGGCUGUACUACGAGUUCCCCGUGCCCUGCAGCACGGUCUUCAACCUCACCGUGCGCUCGGUGAACGGGGGCGGGGUCAGCGUGGCCGGCCCGCACUUCCACGGCCUCACGGCGCCUUGCCCUCCUGCUGAUGUGCGGUACAGCAUAGAGUUGUUCGACCGGAUCACGGUGGUCUGGGACGAGUCCGUGUUUGCCACGGGGUACACUGUGUACAGCAGUUCGGGGGCGAUUUGCAACACCAGCACAGUGUUCUGCCAGUUCCUCGAGGCAGACCCAGACAGCCUGUGGGUGACGGCGAGCAACGCAGUGGGAGAGAGCGAGCCCAGCAGCAACAUCACGGGGCCAGUGUUCGUUCGUGGAAGACGGGAUCUACGGAGUAAUGAGGUGGCAGCCGGGAGUCUGAGCGCGCUCAGCACCCCCGGCUCGGUGCGGCUGGAGGCGCGGCCCGCGGCCUCGCUGUACGUGGCGUGGACGGCCGUGCAGGACGCCACCCUGUACACGGUCAUCGUGAAGCAGCCCAGCGCCGCGCGGCCCGCCCUGGUCACCACCGUGGACACCGAGUUCACCACGGUGGACGGACUGGAGCCCCUCACCCGCUACUGCGUCACCCUAGCGGCCAAGAACGCCCUCGGCCAGAGCCCCUACUCCACGCCCCAGUGCCUCGCCACCGGGGCUCCAGAAUGAUGCAUCCCCUGACCUCCCCCUCACCCACCCCCCCCUAGCCCUGUGGACAUUGGACUGACGCCAGUGACAUGUUUAAUGUCUCCCCCAUUUUUACUGGUUGAGAGUAGAUGGAUGAAAAUUAGGAGAAAAACAUUGAUUGGCAAAAGUACGAAUAAGGAUAAUAUUAUGGCUUCUUAAAAAGGAUUAGUAUUUCUUUGAAAACCUAAGACACCAAAAAUAGCUGUUACGGUUUUCUCUUUGUAUGGUCUAACUUAAUGAGUUAAUGAGAAAUCAAAGAGUCUUCUUUUUAGCAAUAGGUUCUGUUUAUUUCCUCAUGUAGAAUCAUUCGGCAAUUAGUUCUCUUAAGAAGGUUUUGCUGAAAUGAUAUUUAUCGCAAAUGGUAAUAUAUUUUUUGACAUGGGCAAAAAUGAUUACUUUCUGUGCAUCUUAGUUCUCCAGCUGAUUGUUCAAUCAAAUACUGUACACAGAGUGACAGAAAAGCUAAUGAAAGCAAAUACAUCGGUAAUUUAUCAAGAUUUUUUUUUAAACCAUACUGUGUAUUAUAUCUGAUGUACUAUAAUAUAUAUGUAUUCUCUCAUUUUAUGAACAGAGCUGUCUAAAUGGCUACCUGGUUGCCUGGAAAUAAUAAAUAAAAAGUCUCUUGCUGCACCUGUUUUAUUUAUCACUCGCCAUGGCAACUGCUUCAUGGUUGCUAUGACACUGCUACGACACUUGUAACACAAUUAAGAAAUAUACA
ensembl:lncRNA